GCCCACUGCUGGCGCCUGCAGCCACCUGGAGCCAGGCCGCCCUCGGGCUUGUCGAAUCUGUAAGCAAACAAGGACACAGCCAGGACGCGUCCUUUCCAAGGCGCCCUUAUCAUUAGGGCCCCACAGCCGCGGGCUCUGCCUAAGGAGGGCCUGGCCUCGCCUCGCCCGAGUGGCGGGGUCCCCGCAGAGCUGGUGGUCUGCGGCGGGACACGCGGCCGAUCCCCGCUUCUCUGGGAAGGCCUCGGUCCAGGACUGCGUGUCCUCGCAGUUCAGUGCUUCCCGCCGUCAGCCCGCCAGCCGCCCUCCCUGACCCACCUCGCUGGGCCGGCUUGGAGAUGGAGUCUGUCUGGGUGGGCAGACAGGCGCAGGCUUGGCCUUGGCCGAGCUUCUGCAGGAAACUGAGAGCAGCAUUCAAACAGCACCCGACCCACCACACGCUGAACAGACUGCUGGUGGUACAAAGGGAGCAAAGCGAGUCUGAAAGGAGGCUAUGAAUGUGUACGCGUACUUAGGAGGGGAAGACAAGGAAACCAUUAAAAACGUGGACCUGCGGAGAAAGAAGGAAGAACAGACGGAAGCCAGACUUCUUUGCCAAUGCCUUGUUUUGUAGCUUUGGCUUUGGAAACAUGUAAUUUGUAUGAUUAC